UCACUGGUGUUCGGGUUGUCAUGCCAAUGGCACUGCCCGGUAGCUAAAUGCGGAAGAGAUAAGUGCUGAAAGCAUCUAAGCACGAAACUUGCCCCGAGAUGAGUUCUCCCUGACUCCUUGAGAGUCCUGAAGGAACGUUGAAGACGACGACGUUGAUAGGCCGGGUGUGUAAGCGCAGCGAUGCGUUGAGCUAACCGGUACUAAUGAACCGUGAGGCUUAACCUU
rnacentral:rRNA from 1 species